rnacentral:rRNA from 1 species
UACGGGGGGGGCAAGCGUUGUUCGGAAUUACUGGGCGUAAAGGGCGCGUAGGCGGCCCUCUAAGUCGGACGUGAAAUCCCUCGGCUCAACCGGGGAACUGCGUCCGAUACUGGAGGGCUUGAAUCCGGGAGAGGGAUGUGGAAUUCCAGGUGUAGCGGUGAAAUGCGUAGAUAUCUGGAGGAACACCGGUGGCGAAGGCGGCAUCCUGGACCGGUAUUGACACUGAGGCGCGAAAGCUAGGGUAGCAAACGGG